rnacentral:rRNA from 1 species
UUUUAUAAAGAAACAAAGUAGUAGUAAUAUACAAAACUUAAAUACAAUGGCGGUCAUACUAAAUUAAAGAAACUCGCUAAAUAAUCGACAACACCCGUUAAUUUUUACUUAAAUAAUAAAUUCAUAUACCGCCGUUACAGAAUCAACACAAUAUUAAUCCAAAUAAUCCAAUUACAAUAAAAAAUCAGGUCAAGGUGUGGUAAUAUAUAAGUUAUAGUAAGUUACAUUAAAAAAGAAUUAAGGAUUUCAAAUCUAAAUAAAAAGGAAAAAGAAUUUAUCAGUAAAUAAAUAAUCAAAAUUUAUUAUAGAAUAAUAAUAUCAUAGACGC